UGCUCUCGACCGCUAGAGCAGCUUGUGCUCUUAGUAUGAUAUAUUCAAAUUUUAAAUUUAUUACUACUUGGUUCCUAAGAUUCAUUCAUUGUUUCUCCCCAAUCGAGAAACUCUAUUCUUUCUUCCUCCCUCUUUCAUCAAACACAGUGAUGCUUUCGACUGUCAGACUCUCCCCUUCUCCCUUUGGCGCUGUCCCCAUUUUGCUUCUGCCUUCCAGGAGUUCCAGCCUUCUAGGUUCGAUUAGCGAGUCCCGGCAGUCCGCCGAGCCACCUCCACCGCUCCACGCUUGAGCCACCUCCUCCGCCACCGAACCACCUCCACGGCUCCACUGCGACUCCUUCAAUCCCAGAUCCCAGAUUUGGGACACAGCAGGACAAGAAAGGUUUCAAAGUCUCAGGGCAGCAUUUUAUGUGGAGCAGAUUGUUGUGUUCUUGUUUAUGAUGUGAAUGUUCUAAGAUCAUUUGAAACACUUCAGAACUGGCAUCAAGAGUUUCUCAAACAGGUGGGUCCAGCUGACACUGAGGCAUUUCCAUUUAUACUACUCGGCAACAAAAUUGAUCUAGAUGGCGGAAACAGCAGAGCAGUAUGGGCAUACAUAAAAUAUAUAGAGGCUGAGGCAUUUCAUCAUCGGUUUUAUGUCCCCCCUGUUAUAUGUUUUGAUUGAAAAAAAUAAUAAAGGCAUGAGGAUGUGCCUCCCAUUGGGUUCCAAACCUAAAAUAUAUAUAUAUAUAUAUAUAUAUAGAGAAAUUUUAAAAUUUUUGUGCACUUGUAAUUAGCCUAGACGGGUUUCGGAUCCUGGAUCCGCCACUGCAAGUGAGCUGUUGGUUGCUCCAGAAAGAUAGACACUGGCUGUGGUUGGAUUUUCAAGGAUGGGCAUCACAGGAGGAACAUGGUAUUCGUUGCUCCGCUUCUGUUGUUUGGCCAAAAAUGUGUUAGGCCUCUCUUUGCCAACCGUAGGCUCUCUUCCUUGUCACAUGUGUAUACAAAGGCAAAGCUACCAGGUUAUGGCAUCUUUCGUACUCUCAGUAGAUUCUGCAUUGCUGAGCCGAUCAAAUAUGUAUCAGUAUCAAACUCUUCUCAGAAAUUUGCCACCCACCAGAUGCAUGAGCAGGACUUCGUUUGAGCUCAACACAGACAAUGGUGUUGUGCGGUUUUCAAUUGGUAAGCCACUUGAUGAAACUGGUUCCUUGACACAAGGGAAGAAGGUGGCCAAACGAGUUAAAAUGUCCAAGAAGGCCAAACUGAAUGAACUACGAUUUUAUCGUCUAAAGGCCAAAAAGAAGAUCAAUUCUCCAAAUCCGGAAGUUAGGAUUACAUACAAACUUGAAAAGGCAAAACGAAAGGAAGCAUGGUUGAUUGAGAAGUUGAGAAAAUUCCAGGUUCACAAAGCUUCUGCUGAAACACAUGAUCCUGAAAUUUUAACUGAAGAAGAAAAGCAUUAUCUUAAGCGAACUGGUGAGAAAAAGAAGAACUAUGUGCCAGUUGGAAGGCGGGGAGUAUUUGGAGGGGUUGUUUUAAAUAUGCAUCUGCAUUGGAAGAAGCACGAGACAGUAAAGGUUAUAUGCAAACCUUGUAAGCCAGGACAGGUUCAUGAAUAUGCUGAUGAGCUAGCUCGGCUGAGCAAAGGCAUAGUGAUUGACAUCAAACCUAAUAAUACUAUAAUUUUCUAUCGGGGGAAGAACUAUGUGCAGCCGGAAGUAAUGUCACCACCAGAUACACUGUCCAAAAAUAAGGCGCUUGAAAAAUAUAGGUAUGAGCAGUCCCUCGAACAUACAGGUCAGUUUAUUGAAAAAUUGGAGAAAGAACUAGAGGAAUAUCACCAGCAUCUUGCUCGGUUUAAGAAAGUAAAAGAGGAUACGACACAAGAUUGUUUGAUCUAUAGAUGAUUGGUAAGUGUUGCAUUAGAGUAGCCGCUGUGUCUUGAGCCCUGGGAAGUUAUAGGUAUGAGCAGUUCAUUAAACAUACAUAUCAGUACAGUGACAGGUGAAAGAUUAGAAGAGCAGACAAUCAACAGAAGAUUCUUUGAUAAACCAUAAAUUAUUGAUCCGGAUUGCAUGCCAUUUGUAUGACUGCUGUUUUCUUGGCUUUAUGAUUGUGGUGAAGAGGUCAUUUUAUUGGCAUUCAAGUGCAUACACAAAGUCGGUGAUGAACUUUUUUGCAUGGGAAAGUGGGAAACUUGCCGUCCUCGGAAGAAUGAUGUGUUUAUUUUGAAGAUUAGAUUAGUGGCUUCCAGAUUAUUUCAACUACUUUUUGUGUGUUGGAAACUUUUAUAACUAUUGACCAAUUAGUCAAACAUUACAAAUAAAUAAAGUGUGUGAUGGAACUGAAAUGGUAAAA